AAAUCUCAAAGUCACUUCAAGAACUCAAAUCAUAAAUUCUAGAGUUUCACAAAGAGGUAAUCCCUUCACUCCAAACUUAGGUACUAUACUCCAUGGGCUUAGUAGAGUAUAUGUAUGAAUGAUAGAUUUAUAUUUAAACAUCUAUUCAUCGAACCCUAGAAGAGUUGGUUGGUAGGGAUGAUAAAUAGUGUUGGGUCUUGUUUGAACGAUGUUAUUUCGAGCUUCUAGUGGAACGAAUAGAUCCCAUGAUAUGUUUAAUGAAGGAUUUGGAGUUAAAAUUCAAGGAUUUACCUACAAAUGAUGAAAUGGGAAUGUUCGCUGAGCUUAUGAAAUUAGGCUUAAAGUGUUAAACACUUAGUUGGGUUAGCUGGUAUUGUCGUGACUCGUUAUUGAAUUAUGUGAGUUCGUAUAUAUACAUUGUGACUCAUCGCCAUGAUCGGAUCAUUCGGGGUAAGGUUGGAAGUAAUUUGAGAUAUGGUGAAACUUAUUACCUUUGGAGCUUUUCUUCAAACUCAUAUCGAAACAUGAUUAAAUUGAGCUUCUAAAUGUGAAUCCUA
rnacentral:lncRNA from 1 species